AAGAAAAUCCGUAGAGAGGAAGAAGACGAACGGAGGAGGGCCGCGCGUCAGGCAAAGAGAGGGCCGCGCAUCGCCGGGAUGGUCGACACGUGUCCUGAGUGUAUUGGCGGAUAAAUUCAACGAAAUACUUCGCGUCGGGCAGGAUUCGAACGCCGGCAGCCCGCUACCCGAGUCCACAACCCGACAACCUCGCGCGACCCGGAAUUCCGACCCAGCUCCUCGUUGCUACGCGUCAGAGUAAAAGAAUUCGGGUUUCCAGCGCGUCCUUCCGGUUUCGAACCGACGACCUCAAUCUCGGAUGACCGUUCAGAACCUCAGCGCGCGUCUUCCUUCCGUCAUGCGCGUCCGUACGCGCGCGUGUAAUACUUUCCCAGACGCGUGUGCGCGCGUGAGGUUCUGUUUUCUGCCGGUUCAACUUCUGUUUUCCCGAAUCUCCUCCCGAUUCCUAACUCUAACCCUACUUUUAUAUGAAAUAGGACUUCAAUAGAAAAAAUCAGUAUUUGUAGACACGCUAUUGGUGUAGAAGCGCUAAACGAAGAACACGCGUCAAUCAAGUACCAGUCGAGGUGGAGGAGAGUUCGAGAGCUGUGCGGUUACAGAGGGGGUCGUUCCAGAGCGUCAGUCCCUCGUCGGUCUUUUAGAGUCUUUUGUAUUUCAUUUUAUAUUUGUAAUUUCUUUUGUAAUAAUUUUGAAAGAAAACUUCUCCCU